GACCGUGCAAAGGUAGCAUAAUCAUUUGCCUUAUAAUUGAAGGCUAGUAUGAAUGGUUUGACGAGAAUUAAGCUGUCUCUUCUCAAUUAAAUAUAAUUUUAUUAACAGGUGAAGAAGCCUGUGUGUUAUUGAAAGACAAGAAGACCCUAUCGAGCUUUAAGGAAUUCAAUAGAUUUAUUAUAUAUUUAUAUAAAUAUAAAACUAUUGAAAACUUUGGUUGGGGCGACUGAGGAACAAAAAAAGCUUCCUUUAUAUCUUUAGAACCUACAAGUAUUGAUCCAAUAAAUUUGAUUAAAGGAAUUAGUUACCGUAGGGAUAACAGCAUAAUCUUCUUUGAGAGUUCUUAUCGAAAAGGAGGUUUGUGACCUCGAUGUUGGACCAGAAUACCCAGAAGAUGUAGCCGUCUUCAAUGGUUGGUCUGUUCGACCAUUAA
rnacentral:rRNA from 1 species